rnacentral:tRNA from 1 species
GCCCCUGUAGCUCAAAGGAUAGAGCGAGGGCCUCCUAAGCCCUGCGUUGGGGGUUCGAGUCCCUCCAGGGGCA